rnacentral:rRNA from 1 species
GUUCAAAAAGAAGAGGUAAAACGUAGGUCCCGAGCGUUGUUCGGAUUCACUGGGUGUAAAGGGCGCGUAGGUGGUUGUCUGUGUCUCAUGUGAAAACUCAGGGCUCAACUCUGAGAUUGCGUGGGAAACUAGGCAGCUAGAGGACGGUAGAGGGGAGUGGAAUUCCCGGUGUAGCGGUAAAAUGCGUAGAUACCGGGAGGAACACCGGUGGCGAAGGCGGCUCUCUGGGCCGAUCCUGACGCUGAGGCGCGAAAGCUAGGGUAGCGAACCGGAUUAGAUACCCGGGUAGUCCUAGCCGUAAACGAUGGGUGCUAGGUGUUGGGGGGUAAAGACCCUUCAGUGCCGAAGCUAACGCGAUAAGCAUCCCACCUGGGGAGUACGGCCGCAAGGUUAAAACUCAAAGAAAUUGACGG